rnacentral:lncRNA from 1 species
AUGUUUAAGAAUACAGAACUGGAGGACAUCCCUAUUGGUGUGUUGUCAUCACUACCAUCUAUCCACAGAACUUCCAAGGCCAACUCACUGUACCCAAGCUUGCCUUCUCUCUGUAUACUAAGAAAUGCUGCCUGCUUCUUCACCGAGAAGACUGGCUCAGUGAGGAUUUUAAAAAUGUCGUAGGAAACCUAAAUCAUCAACCUCAAUGCAGUAGGCCGCUGCAGCUCUACAUCAGCUUUGAUCCUACAUCCACACAAGUAAGGCAAAUAAAUCCAGAAGUGCCAGAGUGUGAGCGUAGCAUAUGCAAGGCUUAGGCUCCGUCCUUAGUACCUAGAUAAAAAACAACAACAACAACAAAAAAACCCACCCC